GCUGGGCAUCGUGGCAUUUACUUGUAGUCCCAGCAACUCACUACUCAGGAGGCUGAGGCUGGAGGAUUGCUUGAGUCCAGGAGUUCUGAGCUAUAGUGCCCUAUGCUGACUGGGUAUCUAAACAAAGUUCAGCAUCAAUAGGGUGACCUCCCAAGAGUGGGGGACCACCAAGUUGCCUAGGAGGGAUGAACCAGCCCAGGUCAGAAAUGAAGCAGUUCAAAACUCCCGUGCUGAUCAGUAGUGGGAUCAUACCUGUGGAUAGCCACUGUACUCCAGCAGCCUGGGCAACAGAGCAAGACCUUGUCUCAU
rnacentral:SRP_RNA from 1 species